rnacentral:misc_RNA from 1 species
UCAAACUUGGUCAUUUAGAGGAAGUAAAAGUCGUAACAAGGUUUCCGUAGGUGAACCUGCGGAAGGAUCAUUACAAUAAACCUGGGCCUAACCGCCCGCCGAGGUGUCUGCCGCCCAGAAUUGGGCACAGGAGCCUGAGGCAAAACCCUCUGUGUAAUUCCGUCCGUUGCUCCGGCGGUCCUGACCGCCGGCGGCGCGCAGAAACUCAAUUUUUGAAAACCUAGCACCUCCGGUCUGACCUGAAGUCGAAUUGACUAUAAAACUUUCAACAACGGAUCUCUUGGUUCCCGCAUCGAUGAAGAACGCAGC